AUGCCUGUACCAUAACCGACACAGGUGGGUAGGUAGAGUAUACUAAGGGGCGCGAGAUAACUCUCUCUAAGGAACUCGGCAAAAUGACUCCGUAACUUCGGGAGAAGGAGUGCCUUAUUUAUAAGGUUGCAAUAACAAGAUCCAAGCAACUGUUUAACAAAAACACGGGUCUCCGCUAAGUCGUAAGACGAUGUAUGGGGGCUGACGCCUGCCCAGUGCCAGAAGGUUAAAGAAGUUGGUUAGUGUAUGCGAAGCUGAUGACUGAAGCCCUGGUGAACGGCGGCCGUAACAAUAACGGUCCUAAGGUAGCGAAAUUCCUUGUCGGGUAAGUUCCGACCCGCACGAAAGGCGUAAUGAUUUGGAUACUGUCUCGGAGAGAGGCUCGGUGAAAUAGACUUGUCUGUGAAGAUGCGGACUACCUGCACCAGGACAGAAAGACCCUAUGAAGCUUUACUGUAACUUGAAAUUGGAAUUGGACUUUGCUUGCGCAGUAUAGGUGGGAAGCGUUGAAGAUAUUCUUGCGGGAGUAUUGGAGCUAUCAGUGAGAUACCACUCUUGUAAUGUUAGAUUUCUAACUUUGAACCAUAAUCUGGUCAAAGAACAGUUUCAGGUGGGCAGUUUGACUGGGGCGGUCGCCUCCCAAAUGGUAACGGAGGCGUACAAAGGUUUCCUCUGAACGGAUAGAAAUCGUAUCUAGAGUGUAAAGGCAUAAGGAAGCUUGACUGUGAGACCUACAAGUCGAGCAGGGACGAAAGUCGGUCUUAGUGAUCUGACGGUACUGAGUGGAAAGGCCGUCACUCAACGGAUAAAAGUUACUCUAAGGAUAACAGGCUGAUCUCCCCCAAGAGUUCACAUCGACGGGGAGGUUUGGCACCUCGAUGUCGGCUCAUCGCAUCCUGGGGCGGUAGUACGUCCCAAGGGUUGGGCUGUUCGCCCAUGAAAGCGGUACGCGAGCUGGGUUCAGAACGUCGUGAGACAGUUCGGUCCAUAUCCGGUGUAGGCGUUAGAAUAUUGAGAGGAGCCUUCUUUAGUACGAGAGGACCGAGAAGGACACACCGCUGGUGUACCAGUUAUCGUGCCAACGGUAAACGCUGGGUAGCUAUGUGUGGAGUGGAUAACCGCUGAAAGCAUCUAAGUGGGAAGCCCACCUCAAGAUGAGUACUCCCAUGGGGUAAACCCAGUAAGGUCACGGGAAGACCACCCGUUUAUAGGUUCUAGAUGGAAGUCCAGCAAUGGAUGAAGUCGAGGGAUACUAAUAGACCGAGGGC
rnacentral:rRNA from 1 species